AAUCAACGCUGGCGGCGUGCCUCAGACAUGCAAGUCGAACGCGAAAGUCCCCUUCGGGGGACAAGUAGAGUGGCGCACGGGUGAGUAACACGUAGGUAAUCUACCUUCGGAUGGGGAAUAACAAUCGGAAACGGUUGCUAAUACCGCAUAAUGCAGCGGCACCUAAUGGUGACAGUUGUUAAAGCGGGGGAUCGAAAGACCUCGCGUCUGAAGAGGAGCCUGCGGCGGAUUAGCUAGUUGGUAAGGUAAUGGCUUACCAAGGCGACGAUCCGUAACCGGCCUGAGAGGGCGGUCGGUCACACUGACACUGACAUACGGGUCAGACUCCUACGGGAGGCAGCAGUCGGGAAUUUUGGGCAAUGGGCGAAAGCCUGACCCA
rnacentral:rRNA from 1 species